CCCUUAUUAGGAUGUAUUUGCAAAUUCAUUUUUUUCUAAAAGAAUGAAUCUUUUUCAUAAAAGAAAAUGACUAUUGGAUAAUUCUUUUAUGGUGCUCUACAUUUUGAUUGUGCUACAAUUAGUAAUUACAUUUUGCCAGGAAUUCAUUAUUAGCAGAAAGCUUUCGUUCUAUCUCUAUGUGUGGAGUAUCUAUCUAGACACUAAGGUCAAUACAGGAGAUGGACUCACUAUAGUUUAUGCAGCACGGAGGUAAUCGGUGUAGUUCAGAUGCAUGGUCUGUUUGAUAGUGAACUGCAGACAGCUCAUAUUAAUAGGUAUAUUAUUCGUGCGGAAGUGGCUGCAAGAAACAACAAUGUAACUUGAGAGAACUUCGUCAGAAAAAUCAUU